UACGAAGGGGGCUAGCGUUGCUCGGAAUCACUGGGCGUAAAGGGUGCGUAGGCGGGUUUUUAAGUCAGAGGUGAAAUCCUGGAGCUCAACUCCAGAACUGCUUUUGAUACUGGAAGUCUUGAGUAUGGGAGAGGUGAGUGGAACUGCGAGUGUAGAGGUGAAAUUCGUAGAUAUUCGCAAGAACACCAGUGGCGAAGGCGGCUCACUGGCCCAUUACUGACGCUGAGGCACGAAAGCGUGGGGAGCAAACAGGG
rnacentral:rRNA from 1 species